AAGAUUAAGCCAUGCAUGUCUAAGUAAAGCUAUAUACAGUGAAACUGCGAACGGCUCAUUAUAUCAGUUAUAGUUUAUUUGAUGGUACCUUACCACUAGGAUAUCCGUGGUAAUUCUAGAGCUAAUACUUGCACAAACUCCCGACUUCUGGAAGGGAUGUAUUUAUUAGUUAAAAGCCAACCCGGGCAACCGGACUCUUGGUGAUUCAUAGUAACUUUACGAAUCGCAU
rnacentral:rRNA from 1 species